GUCGCUUUUUUUAUGCCAUGAGUGAAACUCAGUCGUCGUUAUUAUCAGCGUAAUAUCUGAUACGUCCCCCACAUGUGGGACUUCGAUAUUACACUGAUUUAGAGAACAUGACGGAGGGUUAGGGACUUGCUCCACCUCUGCCAAGGGUCGGCCUGGUGAUGAACCUCCAGGAUUGGCCCACUCCCC